AUGAAUAAAAGAACACAUAACAUGUCAAAAGCUCAUGUCUCUUAUUUAAGGAAACUGAAGGAUGGGAAAGAGAAGCACAUUGUUUGCCUCAUGGAGAAAUCAAAGAACAGAGCCAUGGCUCCGAGCUCACACAGCCCCAGAGCCAGGGUAUCCCUUGCUAAAGAGACUGAAGCCAACCAGUCCCCAACGACAAAGGGGACAGAUCAGGGAAUGCCCUGCUGGCAUCCUUCUUCAGGCCCCUGGGGAUCAGGAGGGGCAAAUGCAGAAGCGGCUUCUCUGGAGGCAGACAGAGUAAUGCCCCAAAUGCCUCCUUCCCUCGCUCUUCCAGGCCUCCAGAGUCACGCAGCUUGUAGUCCUGGCUGCAGCCCAGGAGGGGUGAGUGGACAGCGCAGCACAGCAGACGGUGCACAGGCUUGGAGUCGGCCACUCAGAAGCAGUGUCACCUUGGACACCCCAAGCCUCGAAAGUCUUCCAGAGUUUUCAGGAGCUAAUUGAUUAUGUGAUUUCUUUUCCUCUGAGAAUUGUUUUGAUGGUGUGUCACCAAGUUGUCACGUAGGUGCCCACCAGGUCAAACAGAAUAGCCCACCCCCACCCCGCCCCCCACCCUGGGGAAUGUCUCCUUCCACCAAAUAAAAUGAACUGAGACAGGGCAGGAGGCAGGAAGGAAGCAGAAGUUUGAGGAAGGACUCCAGCUGAAGGUCACAAUAGUUUGAGGAAGGCAGAUCAAGGUAAUACGAAGCGGAGAGACCCUAUAGUGGAAAACACAAACAACCAAUCACGUUUCUCGGAACCAGCCUACCCAUGAUGGGUGCACCAGGAAGCAGCACAUCCUGGGAUCCAACUUCUUUCACCCAGCACACCCGAAUCUCCACCCCAGCCCUGCAGACACCCUAGCCCGAUACCAGACCUAAUUAGACAGACCUGAGCGCAGCUAAUUAGAAGUAGUAAACAAGCCUAUUUCUUGCCAGCGCAGAAGUUUCCCAAAUUGUCCGCUUGUUUUCCUCCCAACAGAAGACAGUGAUUUCCCACCUUUGUCACAUUUCCUACCAGAAACUUUUCUUUCUGCAAUCCCUCCACCUAGGCUAAACUGCAAAGCCACUGGCAAUGGAGACGCAGGCGCUGCACCCCCGGGACAUAGGCAGAGGUACCUUUUCCGCGAAGCAGAGGGGCCGGUGCCCAGAGGCCAGCUGCCCUGCCGAGCAGUGGAGCGAAGCUGUGGGCUGGAGCACGCUGAGGAUUACGCGUUCCUGUCUCUGCGACCAGACCUUUCGGCAGCUCAGCUCGGACCAACUGUGCUAGCGAUGCACUUAGCAAUUAUCUGCUGGCGCCGACGCCCCGCCCUCUGCUCUUGCGAUUGGCUCUCCAGUCCCGGGCAGGACUGCAUUGGUUUCAGCCGACCUCACUCAUUGCUUUGGCUCCUACUAUUAUCUAAGCCAUCAAAGGAAAUAAUUCCAUGUUUCAUUGACAACCUGUAAGGCUCUCCUCCAGCCCAAUGUGGGGGCAGGACCCGGGAGGCCAGUGGAGAGAGGGGAGGCGAGUGGGAAAAGGUGGGGGAGCGGGGUGGGGGAAGGAGGUGGAGGGGAGAGGAAAAGAACAAGAAGGUGUGGGGGGUAGGAGGGUAGGAGGGAGAGAGAGAGAGAGAGAGAGAUGGAGCUAUCAAGCAAUCAGAUUCUUGCUCUAGCAUUUUAACUUCCACAAAACAGAGCCCAUAGCAACAAUUUUCUGGCUUUCUUUUUCCCCCUAACUGGUAAAUGUUGCUGAGGGCAGACAGAAUAAUAACUAUGGGGUGUCUGCCGGCAUGAGACAGACUCUAGAAAGCCGAGCAAGGUUGAAGGUUGAAGGAAUGGAGUAAUGCUUUUCACAGGGCCACCCUGGAGGGCAUGUGAAGGUCAUGGCAGAUUGUUUGGAGAGCAUGGUAGGUGCAUACCUGGAGUUUAUCUAUUAGUACUUUAUCUCACAGUCUCCCUCAUCUCCCAACCUGCGGAGACAAUUUUCCUUUGCACCCUAUCCAAAGAGUCUCAGAAGAGCUUUUCUUAAAGUCUCUAAAACUCUGGAGUUUCUCACUGUUCUCACUGAGAGGUCCAGAGAGCCAAGCAUUCUAGAGCUAAGGAUUCCGCUGGGCCCCUCACUCUGGUUUAUUCUGACACGGCUUAAAUUAAUCGCUUAGACUUUCAUCGACAGCCUAAGCACAGGAAGAGAGAACAUACCCAUCAAAGGGUGGGAACAGCUUAAACACCUUUCCUUGUUCACCAAGGAAUCAUAAAGUCUCACCCCAGUUAAAAUGGCUUUUAUCCAAAAGACAGGCAAUAACAAAUGCUGGCAAGGAUGUGAAGAAAAAGGAAUGAACCCUCCUACAUUGUUGGUGAGAAUGUGAAUUAAUGCCACCACUAUGGAGAACAGCAUGGGGGUUUCUCAGAAAACUAAAUAUAGAGCUAUCACAUGAUCCAGCAAUCUCAUUGCUAGGUAUAUACCCCCCAAAAAGAAAUCGGUAUCUUGAAGAGAUACCUGCACUCCCAUGUUUAUUGCAGCACUAUUCACAACAGCCAACAUCUGGAAGCAAUGCAAGUGUCCAUCAACAGACAAAUUAGAUGAAGAAAAGGUGAUACAUAUGCACAAUGGAGUACUAUUCAUCCAUAAAAAAGAAUGAGAUCCUGCCAUUUACAACAACGUGGAUGGAACUGGAGGACAUUCUGUUAAAUGAAGUAAAACAGGCAUGGAAAGACAAACUUCACAUGUUUGCAUUCAUUUGUGAGAGCUAAAAAUUAAAACAAUUGAACUCAUGGACAUAGAGAAUAGAAUGAUGGUUACCAGAGGCCAGGAAAGGGCAGUGGGGAGGGGAGGAAUGGUUACUAGGUACAAAAAUAGAGUUAGAGAGAAUGAAUAGGAUCUAGUAUUUGAUAGCACAACAGGUUUAUCACAGUCAGCAAAACAUAUUAUACAUUUUUAAAUAACUGAGAGUACAAUUGGAUUGUUUGUAACAAAAGGAAAUGCUAAAUGCUUGAGGUGCCAGAUACCCCAUUUACCCUAAUGUGAUUAUUACACAUUGCAUGCCUGUAUCAAAAUAUCUCAUGUACCCCAUAAACAUAUACACCCACUAUGUACCCAUGAAAAUUAAAAAUUAAAAACAUUUUAAAAAGAAAUCAUAAAGCACAAAUUUUGACCUUCCUCUCUC
rnacentral:lncRNA from 1 species